rnacentral:rRNA from 1 species
UACGGAAGGUGCAAGCGUUAAUCGGAAUUACUGGGCGUAAAGGGCUCGUAGGCGGCCAACUAAGUCGGAUGUGAAAUCCCCAGGCUUAACCUGGGAACUGCAUCCGAUACUGGAUGGCUUGAAUCCGGGAGAGGGAUGCAGAAUUCCAGGUGUAGCGGUGAAAUGCGUAGAUAUCUGGAGGAAUACCGGUGGCGAAGGCGGCAUCCUGGACCGGCAUUGACGCUGAUGAGCGAAAGCUAGGGGAGCAAACGGG